CAGGCGGCUUGGUAGGUUGGACGUGAAAGCUCCUGGCUCAACUGGGAGAGGUCGUUCAAUACCGCCAGGCUUGAGGACGGAAGAGGGAAGCGGAAUUCCCGGUGUAGUGGUGGAAUGCGUAGAUAUCGGGAGGAACACCUGUGGCGAAAGCGGCUUCCUGGUCCGUACCUGACGCUAAGACGCGAAAGCGUGGGGAGCGAACGGGAUUAGAUACCCCGGUAGUCCACGCUGUAAACGAUGGAUGCUAGGUGUGGGUGGUAUUGACCCCAUCCGUGCCGUAGCUAACGCGUUAAGCAUCCCGCCUGGGGACUACGGCCGCAAGGUUAAAACUCAAAGGAAUUGACGGGGGCCCGCACAAGCAGCGGAGCGUGUGGUUUAAUUCGAUGUUACGCGAAGAACCUUACCUGGGCUUGACAUGCACGUAGUAGUGAAGCGAAAGCGGAACGACCCUUCGGGGAGCGUGCACAGGUGCUGCGUGGCUGUCGUCAGCUCGUGUCGUGAGAUGUUGGGUUAAGUCCCGCAACGAGCGCAACCCUCGCCGUUAGUUACAUGUGUCUAACGGGACUGCUGGUAUCAAACCGGAGGAAGGUGGGGAUGACGUCAAGUCCUCAUGGCCUUUAUGGGCAGGGCUACACACGUGCUACAAUGGUCGGUACAGAGGGUCGCCAAAGCGCAAGCUGGAGCUAAUCUCACAAAGCCGAUCGUAGUCCGGAUUGGAGUCUGCAACUCGACUCCAUGAAGUCGGAAUCGCUAGUAA
rnacentral:rRNA from 1 species